GACGAACGCUGGCGGCGUGCCUAAUACAUGCAAGUAGAACGCAGUUGCGAACGGGUGAGUAACGCGUAGGUAACUGCCUCAUCGCGGGGGAUAACCAUUGGAAACGAUAGCUAAUACCGCAUACUGUGACAUGGACCUGCGUGGUAUUAGCUUGUUGGUGUGGUAAAGGCUCACCAAGGAGACGAUACAUUGCCGACCUGAGAGGGUGGUCGGCCACGCUGGGGAUGAGACACGGCCCAGAAGCCUACGGCGGGCAGCAGUAGUGGAUCUUUGGCAAUGGAGGGAAGUCUGACCGAGCCACGGCGCGGGUUUGAAGAAGGGUUUGAGAUCGGAAAGGUCCGUUUUGAGAAGAGCGGUAACUAACCAGAAAGGGACGGCUAACUACGUGCCAGCCGCCGCGGUAAUUC
rnacentral:rRNA from 1 species